rnacentral:rRNA from 1 species
UAAGGAAUAUUGGUCAAUGGACGCAAGUCUGAACCAGCCAUGCCGCGUGAAGGAUGAAGGUCCUCUGGAUUGUAAACUUCUUUUAUCUGGGACGAAAACGGGAUUUUUAUCUCAAUUGACGGUACCAGAGGAAUAAGCACCGGCUAACUCCGUGCCAGCAGCCGCGGUAAUACGGAGGGUGCGAGCGUUAUCCGGAUUUACUGGGUUUAAAGGGUGCGUAGGUGGGCUUAUAAGUCAGUGGUGAAAUCUCCGAGCCUAACUUGGAAACUGCCGUUGAUACUAUAGGUCUUGAAUUAUCUGGAGGUAAGCGGAAUAUGUCAUGUAGCGGUGAAAUGCUUAGAUAUGACAUAGAACACUAAUUGCGAAGGCAGCUUACUACAUAUAAAUUGACGCUGAGGCACGAAAGCGUGGGGAUCAAACA